UGCAAACCGCAAUUGCAUGGAGUUCAGAUAACGAAUUAUCAUCAAACCAAGGCAGAAUUCCUGUUGUAAAGCCUCUGCAAGAAAAGAGCACCGUGAAAGCUGGUCUGCUUGAGGCUGCUGUCCUACUUUGUCAAUACUUUCCUAGUCUUAGCGAGUGAUGUCACAGCAUCUCUGACAUUCAGACCCCAGUAAUCCACUAGGUGUGUAUCUUGCUUGGUUUUCUCUGCAUGCUUUGUGAUAUGGCAUGGGUGAUAA
rnacentral:lncRNA from 1 species